rnacentral:tRNA from 2 species
GGUUUCAUAGUGUAGCGGUUAUCACAACGGAUUCUGAUUACAGAACCUUCCGUUAACCCCGGUUCGAAUCCGGGUGAGACCU